GCCUGCAUGAAGUCGGAAUUGCUAGUAAUCGUAGGUCAGCAUACUACGGUGAAUACGUUCCCGGGCCUUGUACACACCGCCCGUCAAACCAUGAGAGUUGGCAACACCCGAAGUCGGUAGUCUAACCGCAAGGAGGACGCCGCCAAAGGUGGGGGUUGAUGAUUAGGGUUAAGUCGUAACAAGGUAAC
rnacentral:rRNA from 1 species